rnacentral:rRNA from 1 species
GUUCACCUACGGGGCGCAGCAGUCGGGAAUAUUGCGCAAUGGAGGAAACUCUGACGCAGUGACGCCGCGUAUAGGAAGAAGGUUUUCGGAUUGUAAACUAUUGUCGUUAGGGAAGAUACAAGACAGUACCUAAGGAGGAAGCCCCGGCUAACUAUGUGCCAGCAGCCGCGGUAAUACGUAGGUGGCAAGCGUUGUCCGGAUUUAUUGGGCGUAAAGCGAGUGCAGGCGGUUCAAUAAGUCUGAUGUGAAA